rnacentral:rRNA from 1 species
GACGAACGCUGGCGGCGUGCUUAACACAUGCAAGUCGAACGGAAAGGCCCUGCUUUUGUGGGGUGCUCGAGUGGCGAACGGGUGAGUAACACGUGAGUAACCUGCCCUUGACUUUGGGAUAACUUCAGGAAACUGGGGCUAAUACCGGAUAGGAGCUCCUGCUGCAUGGUGGGGGUUGGAAAGUUUCGGCGGUUGGGGAUGGACUCGCGGCUUAUCAGCUUGUUGGUGGGGUAGUGGCUUACCAAGGCUUUGACGGGUAGCCGGCCUGAGAGGGUGACCGGGCACAAUGGGGCUGAGGAACGGGCCAGGAUGCUUCGGGGAGCAAGAGGGGGGAAUAUUGCACAAUGGGGCGAAGGCUGGAUGAAGAACCCCGGGGGGGGGAAGACGGCCUUCGGGUUGUAAACCGCUUUCGCCUGUGACGAAGCGUGAGUGACGGUAAUGGGUAAAGAAGCACCGGCUAACUACGUG